UGAAUAUUGAACUGACAUGAGCCAGAGCGGUCGUGACAAGAUGGCUGACCACAUGCUGUUGUGUUGAGCUGGAAAUCUACCCAAACAAUAUCGUCUUCUCAGGAAACCAGCGCACCUGGCCGUGUCUGCUGGAUGGUGCACGGUACCGGAGAGGUGACGGGAAGCAUCGUUCCUACUACUUCCGACAGCUGCACGGGCCUGUGUAAAUGACAGGCUGAGCCCGAGGAUGUCUGCUGGCUGCCGCGCGGCCUGCUCCAUCCAGCCUGCUACAGCCUGCAGUGUAUACCGCUUAUCCUGUUGAGGGUCGCAGAGAGCUGACGCCCAUCCCAGUUGACUUUGGGCAAAAGGCGGACUACACCCUAGACUCACAUCGUCAUUGUGUGGGAACUGAACCCAA